CCUACGGGGGGCAGCAGUGAGGAAUAUUGGUCAAUGGACGAGAGUCUGAACCAGCCAAGUAGCGUGAAGGAUGACUGCCCUAUGGGUUGUAAACUUCUUUUAUAUGGGAAUAAAACGUUCCACGUGUGGGAUUUUGUAUGUACCAUAUGAAUAAGGAUCGGCUAACUACGUGCCAGCAGCCGCGGUAAUACGGAGGAUCCGAGCGUUAUCCGGAUUUAUUGGGUUUAAAGGGAGCGUAGGUGGAUUGUUAAGUCAGUUGUGAAAGUUUGCGGCUCAACCGUAAAAUUGCAGUUGAAACUGGCAGUCUUGAGUACAGUAGAGGUGGGCGGAAUUCGUGGUGUAGCGGUGAAAUGCUUAGAUAUCACGAAGAACUCCGAUUGCGAAGGCAGUUCACUGGACUGCAACUGACACUGAGGCUCGAAAGUGUGGGUAUCAAACAGGAUUAGAUACCCGUGUAGUC
rnacentral:rRNA from 1 species